GGAAGGGUCGCAUAGUGGUCUAUUGCACCAGUUUCGAAAACUGGCGCCUGAAAAGGCUUCGUGAGUUCAAAUCUCACCCCUUCCGCCA
rnacentral:tRNA from 1 species